rnacentral:rRNA from 1 species
UACGAAGGGGGCUAGCGUUGCUCGGAAUUACUGGGCGUAAAGGGCGCGUAGGCGGAUAUUUAAGUUGGGGGUGAAAUCCCGGGGCUCAACCUCGGAAUUGCCUUCAAAACUGGGUAUCUUGAGUUCGGGAGAGGUGAGUGGAAUGCCGAGUGUAGAGGUGAAAUUCGUAGAUAUUCGGCGGAACACCAGUGGCGAAGGCGACUCACUGGCCCGAUACUGACGCUGAGGCGCGAAAGCGUGGGGAGCAAAC